NNNNNNNNNNNNNNNNNNNNNNNNNNNNNNNNNNNNNNNNNNAGCAGCCUUCCUUCGAAAAAGAAGGAUGCGUGUGUUCCCGUACCUGGACGAUUGGCUACUCGCGGGCAGGUUGGAGGCCGAGGGCCAAUCGCACGUGAAGCUGGCCUUGCAGACGUUCGACAAGCUCGGCCUCCGGGUCAAUGUGCCCAAGUCCACGUUAGUCCCCACACAGAGGCUGGACUUCAUAGGUGCAACCCUGGACUCGGUAACCACGCAAGCGAGCCUACCAGAGGCACGGUUCAGGUCAAUUCACAGAGCCGUGAGCUCGGUCCAAAAGUUCCCCAUGACAACGGCAAGGUGUUGCAUGCAGCUUCUGGGGCAUAUGGCAGCCUGCACACAUGUGGUCAGACAUGCCCGCCUGAGGCUCCGACCUUUACAGUUGUGGUUCGCCCACACGCAUCGCCCCAACAGAGACCCAUUGGAUCAAGUAGUCACGAUCCCAAACCAGGUGCUCAGCUCGCUACGCUGGUGGCUCGAUCGCCAACAGGUAUGCGAAGGGAUCCCCUUCGCUGCCCCACAGCCCACUCUGACGUUGGUAACAGAUGCAUUGGACCUGGGUUGGGGGGCGCACCUGGGGGAACUGCGGACCCAAGGGCUGUGGUCCAGAGAAGACAAACUGCUUCACAUCAAUCUAAAGGAGCUAAGAGCGGUUCGCCUCGCCUGUCAGACCUUCCACACCACCAUAGAAGGUCACAGUGUGGCAGUCCUGACGGACAACACUACCGCCAUGUUCUAUAUAAACAAGCAGGGUGGGUCCCGGUCCUCUCCCCUCUGUCGCGAGGCACUCCACUUAUGGGACUUUUGUAUAGCCCAUGCAAUCCACCUCAUCGCAACGUAUCUCCCGGGGAUCCAAAACGGCUUAGCGGACCGCCUCAGCCGAUCCUACCAAAUGCACAAAUGGGCGUUGAGGCGGGACGUCCUGCAUUCAAUCUUCCGGAGGUGGGGCUUUCCCCGGGUGGAUCUUUUCGCCACCAAGGACAACAGUCAAUGCCCUCAGUUCUGCUCAUUUCAGAACCUCAGCCCGGGAUCAUUGGCAGAUGCCUUCACGAUUCCGUGGGGAGGGAGCCUGAGGUAUGCCUUCCCUCCAUUCCCGCUCAUCCACAAGGUCCUCCUCAAGACCCGCAGGGACAGGGCGAUAAUUAUACUCAUCGCCCCGGCCUGGCCACGCCAGCAUUGGUUCACGACCCUGCUGGAAUUGUCCAUAGUCGACCCGAUCACCCUCCCACUCCAUCGUGACCUAGUCACACAAGACAGGGGUCGCCUGCUCCACCCGAACCUGUCAUCGCUACAUCUCACGGCGUGGUAUCUCU
ensembl:lncRNA